rnacentral:rRNA from 1 species
UACGGAGGAUCCGAGCGUUAUCCGGAUUUAUUGGGUUUAAAGGGUGCGCAGGCGGGAGAUUAAGUCGGCGGUGAAAUUUUGCAGCUUAACUGUAAAAGUGCCUUCGAAACUGGUUUCCUUGAGUGUAGAUGAAGUAGGCGGAAUUUGUGGUGUAGCGGUGAAAUGCAUAGAUAUCACGAGGAACUCCGAUUGCGCAGGCAGCCUACUAAACUACUACUGACGCUCAGGCACGAAGGCGUGGGGAUCAAACAGGAUUAGAUACCCCCGUAGUCCCU